GACGGGAUCCAUCGGUAGCUUGCUACCGAUGGUGAGAGUGGCGCACGGGUGCGUAACGCGUGAGCAACCUGCCCAUAUCAGGGGGAUAGCCCGGAGAAAUCCGGAUUAACACCGCAUGACACUGCUUUCCGGCAUCGGGAGGCGGUCAAAUAUUCAUAGGAUAUGGAUGGGCUCGCGUGACAUUAGCUAGUUGGUGGGGUAACGGCCCACCAAGGCGACGAUGUCUAGGGGCUCUGAGAGGAGAAUCCCCCACACUGGUACUGAGACACGGACCAGACUCCUACGGGAGGCAGCAGUAAGGAAUAUUGGUCAAUGGGGGCAACCCUGAACCAGCCAUGCCGCGUGCAGGACGACUGCCCUAUGGGUUGUAAACUGCUUUUGUUAGGGAAUAAACCCCGCUACGUGUAGCGGGCUGAAUGUACCUAAAGAAUAAGGAUCGGCUAACUCCGUGCCAGCAGCCGCGGUAAUACGGAGGAUCCGAGCGUUAUCCGGAUUUAUUGGGUUUAAAGGGUGCGUAGGCGGCACUUUAAGUCAGGGGUGAAAGACGGCAGCUCAACUGUCGCAGUGCCCUUGAUACUGAAGUGCUUGAAUGCGGUUGAAGACGGCGGAAUGAGACAAGUAGCGGUGAAAUGCAUAGAUAUGUCUCAGAACACCGAUUGCGAAGGCAGCUGUCUAAGCCGUUAUUGACGCUGAUGCACGAAAGCGUGGGGAUCGAACAGGAUUAGAUACCCUGGUAGUCCACGCCCUAAACGAUGAUGACUCGAUGUUUGCGAUAUACCGUAAGCG
rnacentral:rRNA from 1 species